GACGAACGCUGGCGGCGUGCCUAAUACAUGCAAGUAGAACGCUGAAGGAGGAGCUUGCUUCUCUGGAUGAGUUGCGAACGGGUGAGUAACGCGUAGGUAACCUGCCUGGUAGCGGGGGAUAACUACUGGAAACGAUAGCUAAUACCGCAUAAGAGUAGAUGUUGCAUGACAUUUACUUAAAAGGUGCAAUUGCAUCACUACCAGAUGGACCUGCGUUGUAUUAGCUAGUUGGUGUGGUAACGGCUCACCAAGGCAAGGAUACAUAGCCGACCGGAGAGGGUGGGCAGCCGCACUGGGAGUGAGACACGGCACAGAGGCCUACGGGAGGCAGCAGUAGGGAAACUUCGGCAAUGGGCGGAAGACUGACCGAGAAACGCCGCGUGAGUGAAGAAGGUUUUCGGAUCGUAAAGCUCUGUUGUAAGAGAAGAACGAGUGUGAGAGUGGAAAGUUCACACUGUGACGGUAUCUUACCAGAAAGGGACGGCUAACUACGUG
rnacentral:rRNA from 1 species